UAUACUCUAGUGUUUUGUAUUCAUCAAAAUCCAUUAGGGGGUCAACAUUUGUCAUAUGUCAAGAUUUAUUUGACUUAAGUUCGAGAGUGGAAAACUUCUUUUCCACUGUACAUACUAUCCCGGCCGAGGAUUUACGAACUCAGUCUCAUAAAUCACAUAGGAUCUCUCCUAAUCUAUUAAGGUCGAUAGAUUCCAUCUAGAUGCAUCCCUACUCCUACAAUGAACCUACUGCAGCCAAUCUGCACUACAAAAAUCCAAAUGGCUAGGGCCCAUGUUUAUGUGCUCGUCAAACUACAGCAACCUCACCGUGAAUAGCUGAGGCAUCGCAGGUCAAAGGACCAGUCAUACAACUACAACAUCAAGUAAGUCAUUGAUGAGUGGAUAGACAUCCAAGUGACUACUUGCUUUGGUCACGUUCAGUACCCUUGUUCUCUAACAAGCACUUGCACAAUUGCUCAGUACCCCACACUGUGGAUUCAAGACUCGUCCAUCAAAGAAAGCAAUCUGUACACUAAUCUCAGUGGAUCAAUUACCGUCCUCGUGAUGAUCCAUCGAUCAGGAGCAAUUCAGGAAUUAAUCACCACUAACACAGCCUCAAAUUCUCAACUUUUGAGAAUAUGCGUCAUCAUCUUAUUAAUUCCUUGGACGAUUCAUGGACACAUAAGA
rnacentral:lncRNA from 1 species